GCCUUCUUAGCUCAGUGGUAGAGCGCGCCACUCGUAGGUCGAGGUUAUGGUGAGGUCGGUUGUUCAAUCCAGCCAGGAGGCA